CUCAGGAUGAACGCUAGCUACAGGCUUAACACAUGCAAGUCGAGGGGAAACGAUAUUGGAAGCUUGCUUCCGAUAGGCGUCGACCGGCGCACGGGUGAGUAACGCGUAUCCAACCUGCCCAUCACUUGGGGAUAACCUUGCGAAAGUAAGACUAAUACCCCAAUGACGUCUCUAGAAGACAUCUGAAGGAGAUUAAAGAUUUAUCGGUGAUGGAUGGGGAUGCGUCUGAUUAGCUUGUUGGCGGGGUAACGGCCCACCAAGGCGACGAUCAGUAGGGGUUCUGAGAGGAAGGUCCCCCACAUUGGAACUGAGACACGGUCCAAACUCCUACGGGAGGCAGCAGUGAGGAAUAUUGGUCAAUGGGCGCGAGCCUGAACCAGCCAAGUAGCGUGAAGGAUGAAGGCUCUAUGGGUCGUAAACUUCUUUUAUAUGGGAAUAAAGUUUUCCACGUGUGGAAUUUUGUAUGUACCAUAUGAAUAAGGAUCGGCUAACUCCGUG
rnacentral:rRNA from 1 species